rnacentral:rRNA from 1 species
UGGGGAAUUUUGGACAAUGGGCGAAAGCCUGAUCCAGCAAUGCCGCGUGUGUGAAGAAGGCCUUCGGGUUGUAAAGCACUUUUGUCCGGAAAGAAAUGGCUCUGGUUAAUACCUGGGGUCGAUGACGGUACCGGAAGAAUAAGGACCGGCUAACUACGUGCCAGCAGCCGCGGUAAUACGUAGGGUCCAAGCGUUAAUCGGAAUUACUGGGCGUAAAGCGUGCGCAGGCGGUUGUGCAAGACCGAUGUGAAAUCCCCGAGCUUAACUUGGGAAUUGCAUUGGUGACUGCACGGCUAGAGUGUGUCAGAGGGGGGUAGAAUUCCACGUGUAGCAGUGAAAUGCGUAGAGAUGUGGAGGGAAUACCGAUGGCGAAGGCAGCCCCCUGGGAUAACACUGACGCUCAUGCACGAAAGCGUGGGGAGCAAACAGGAUUAGAUACCCUGGUAGUCCACGCCCUAAACGAUGUCAACUAGUUGUUGGGGAUUCAUUUCCUUAGUAACGUAGCUAACGCGUGAAGUUGACCGCCU